rnacentral:rRNA from 1 species
GUAGAAGAAGGAUCACUUCAGAGUGCUUCUCUUGCCCGUCGCUCGGCGGCGACAUGGCUCAUGGCUGUUGGAGGAGUAGAGAGGGAGCGGGUUUUAGAGAGACUUGCCUGAGGUGAGGGAAGGGAGAGGGAGAGGGAGGGCAAUGGCGUUGAAUUACGCGGGGAUUACUGGUAAUCUCGAGGUCAUUACCGGCGGUAAUCCCACGGGAUUUCGGCGACGAGGGCGUGCGUGGACCUAUGGGGGAGAGGGAUAUUUUGGGCGGGGGCACUGCGGGUCAAAGGGGAGCAGGCUUCGGGGUAGUAUACUAGUAUACCCGUGAGGACGGAGUGAGAGAGAGCGCCUUGACGAGCGCCUCAUUGAUUGAGCGACGACGGCAAGACCUCGCGCUACAGGCGCUCGCAGCGCAGGUAGGCCUCGAGGCGGUUCAGGCCGCCGGAAGGUGGUGGCGGUGUCUUGCUCCUGCACAGGCCCUUGAACAGAUGUCUUGAGGGAAGCUGGAGGAGAUGCGGCAAGUUGGUAAGCAACUGCGGCCUACGGUAGAAGAGGUUGAGGCCGCCUUGAGGCUAGAGCUGUCUAAUUCUCUACUAUCCCAAUACCGGAUGUGAGUUACUCGGUUCACCGCAACUACCUCGGGAUUGAAUCGCUGUACGUACAAUAAAACGAUAUAAUGCGCGGUCGUAACUCAACACGGUUACGAAACUAGGUCCCUAUCGUGUUAUUCGUGCUUCUAAACCUAAGAUGGUUUAGACUCAACAAUGUUGAUCGGUGACUUCGCAAUUUCACACGGCCGAGAGUACAGAUAGAAAAGGAGGAGUUUGCUUACCUGUAUUAUUACCAAGUUACCCUUAUAUAUAUAUUGUUUAUCUGCCUUUACGUUAACAGAGAAAGGUAUCGUAUAUUGAACCUUUCCUUAGACACAACGUACGCCACAGCCACAAAAUGCACUCUACAAUAUGAGGACUACGAUAGUGACCUAGUCAUGACGACCAAUUUAAGGAGAUAUAGAUAGAUGGAUAGGGGUUCACUUUGUAUAGUACUAGCUGGCUCCUUGUUCUGUGGUUGCAAUCGUACAAAGAUAUCGAUGGCAAAUCGCUGUCGUACAAGUGGUGUGUUACGUGAUUGAUCGAAGGAUAAAUUUGUGGAGGAGGGACCUUAAGUAGAAGAAGAGUAGGUUAUAAAAGGAGGGAGAGGUUGUUGGUAAGAGGAGAAGGGAGCGUUUCUUUUUGUUGGGAGGAGCUAUAUCGAUAUCUUUGCAUGGAACACGAGGAGGUCGUGCGUCACGUGAUCGAUCGACGAGCGGAUAAAUUGGUGGUGGACGUACAAGAAGAGUAGGGUAUCAAUAGAGGGAGAGAUAGUUGGGAGGAGGAACUACGAAGAGAGGGAAUGGAGAUGUAUGGGUGUGUGUUCACACGGAGAAGAUAUCGUCUUCAAGCUGACGGACUAGAAACCAUUCGAGAUCAGGAGGAACAAAGACAAACAGAAGUAAUAUUCGCGGUUCCAAGAGUGUGUGCGCUUUUGUGACAUCUGGAGCCGCUGUGCGAGAUGGGUGAGAGUAAGCCCUAUAAAGUAUAACAAACUUGCUUGUAUCUCCAUAUAUACCACAGAACGAUAGGUGCGCGUACGAAAGCAAAUACAAAAACUAAAAAAAUUCAAUUACGUACAGAUAAUAAGCGACGGUACGCAAAACAUCUAAUGUACUACGUUUUCGUAGUUUUCCAGGUUACAAAGGUAGCAUACGGGAGUCGACAUAUUUUUAAUACCGUGAUAGCCUACUCGAAUAUGCGUUGUAGCUAGUGAGCAAGGUUAACUUAAUGGGGAAAAAAGAGUGUAGAGUGUUGAGUCAAAAGAAGAGUCCGGUAGCCUAUACUGUAACUUAUCCUGCUUAAAGUAUCCAUAUGUGUAUGUUCUCGUGAUUUGUAGGAAGAAGGUAAGAACACGGAUAAACUGAGAGAGAUCACGAAACGAGAUUGUAGGCGAAACAGGACGAAGAGUUUAUUUAUUUGGUACAAGCACAGACUGUCCAAACAGGUACCUUCACCUGACGGGAUGUUGUCGUAGUUCUCGCUACUAGAAGAAUCAUUGUACGGAUUCUUUUACACGUAGGCAUUAGAGUAUAUACGGUUGAUCAAGAGUUGUUGUACGUAGGUCUUUUGUUUUGUUGUUGGUACCCUUCCCCGACGGUUGGGACUCUAUAAACCGUAGUCGUGUAAACCGGGCUAGUCAGCCGCUCCAGCUGUUCGAUCGAUCCUGGGGUGGGUCACGUUAGUUCCGGUACUUCUGUUGGGAUCUUUACAAGUUGCAGUUGACCAUACAGACAGUAGAAGGUUGUAAAACCAGCUAAACAUAAGAUGAACUGGUACACGAUUGGUCUCCACCGAGACAUAACAACCUAUAUUUAAAGGCUUAUGAUUGUUCUCACAACCUAUCUAAAGCCUUAUGACUGGUGUGGAGAACAAUCAUAAGGUUUUAAAUAGUUUGUUAUGACUAGGUGGAGACCGGCCGUUUACUGGUUCAUCUUAUGUUUAGCUGGCUUUACAACGUUCUGCUGUCUGUAUGGUGGAACCUCCCCAGCUGCUACUUGUAAAAAUCCCGAAGGAAGUACCAGAACUAAAAACAGAACGUGAACUGCCCCCUGGAUCCGUCGAACAGCUGGGACGGUGGACUAGCCCGAGGUCGCCCACAAGUUUCAGAGCUUCGUCUACUAGGGUAGCUUCGUUUGGAGGUUUGGGUCGGAGAAUUCUUGAACAGCGUACUGUUGCAUACGCGUACAAGAACUCGUACACGGACUCUUCUAGUAGCACGAAUACAACAACCUCCCGUCAGGUGAAGGUACCUGUUUCGACAAUCUGUGCUUGUACUAAAUAAAUAAACUCUUCGUCCUGUUUCGCCUACAAUCUCGUCUCGUGAUCUCUCAGUUUAACCAUACUCCUAACUCCUUCCCACAAAUUAAUCACGCGAGUACAUGCACGAUAUUUUCAGCAACAUUAAUUAUAGCAUAGGCUACUUGACUCUUGUUUUAACUCAACACUCUGCACUCAUUUUUUUCCUCAUUAAGUUAAACUUGCUCACUGCCUCCAACGCAUAUACGUCCUGGCCAGGACUGUAAAGUUCCCGGGCCCCGCUCUGUUCUUAACCCCCGGGAAUCGGAAUUACAUUAGUAGUUUUAUAACUGUAUAUAAGAUGAGGGAAGCAAGACUUAAUAAACAGAACCUAAACAAAUCUAUACCUAUAUAGAUCUGAGUAAAAUCACGAUCUAUGGAGGCAUAGAUCUAUUUAGAUUCUGUUCAUUAAGCCUUACUUCCCUCAUAUAUGAUUUUUGUGAACUCUACGUAGGUUUUGGUUAUAAAUAUUAUUUAUUGAAUAUAUAUAAUGGAUUUUUUUAAUAUUGUAAGCUAUCUACGUUUCAGUAACUACUAGUAUGGUUAUAGGUGUAGAAGGUCGUUAAAGAUGUACCUUUUGUUUGAAAACGAUCUCCGUAUACAAUCUAUUAUAUAGAGAGUUAGGAUUAUUUACUGUCUUAACAUUUUGUGUGAUGUUAAUCUUAAAUCUUGAUUUGUAUGUAAACGAUAUACACCAUGUGUAGCUAGGUAGGUUAUAAAUUCUACUACCUUUAAUGUGUGGAACUCCUAAACCGAUCAAUCCUUGCCAGCUUGACCGCUUGAUCGUCCUCGUAGGUCUUCCUAAACUAGCUUCGUCCCUGACCUGGUCGUCGCCAUCUCUCCUAUCGUCCCCGGCGAGUGGCCGGGAGCUACAGACAUCUCCCGCCGUCGCUUAACAACUUGUGUAAGCCAGACGGUACCACCGAAACCUAAUCCCGAAAAACCUUUGACUUAAAACCCCUCAGCCACUCUGGCUAUUCCUCUUGCUCCUCCGCUCCUAGGCCCAUCCUCUAGCCUCUUACCUCCAAGCAGGUCGCGUACGUGCCUCUAGUACCGCUAUUAGAUCGCUAACGUUGGAAAAAAUCCGUUUUUUUUUGAUCUCUAACGUUGAAGAUCGAUCGCUAGUUACCCUAUAGACGACGCGCAAAACAAAAUAAUAUUCCGUUUGGACGAUGCACGCGCAUGCACACACGGACGGAGGAGGAACCCGGUCGUUACCCGAUGAACGCAUACACAUGGACCACCCCCCGGGAAUCCAGAACCCCCGGGCCCCGCCGGCGGGGGAGACGGGGGGAGUCCCGGCCGGGACGCAUAUACGAGUGGACCGCCUCCAGUAGGUCGUAUCACGUUACUAAAAAUAUGUAUUCUCCCGUAUGCCCACCUUUGGAACCUGGAAAGUUACGGAUCGAAAACGCAGUACAUUAGAUGUUUUUACGUACCGUCACUUAUUAUUUGUACGUAAUUGAACUUUUUUUUUAAUUUUUGUAUUUGCCUCCACAUACGCCCAACCCCCGUGAUCCUAUGGUAUAUAUACAACCCCUUGCAUCGUUAUUAAGUUAUAAAAAGAUGCACAGUGGUUCUAGUUAGAUACCUCAGUAGAUCGUUGCUCCCUCCUCACCUAGAUGUAUGGGAACAUCUAGCGCGCGCCUUCGCAAGUUCUCUUGCCCCAACUACCUCAGCAUGAGCAGCACUAAGUUUAGUGGCUACUAGGAUCGCGGCUUGCCUGCCGUGGAGGCGCAAGUUGUGUGCAUGCCUCGUCGCUGCAGAGGAGGAAGAACUAGGUCGUUCCCCCUUCCUCUCCAAUUACCUCUAGGUCGUCGUGCUGCCGCACCAAUUCCUACCGUUAAAAUGGGUACCCAUACCCAUGGGCGCCCAUGGCAUGGGCGUACCCAUCCCAUACCCGUGUGAAAAUAUGGGUACCCAUCAUGGGUAUGGCAUGGGCAAUUCAGUACCCAUCCCAUUUCCGUAUCGGAACAUGGGCGCCCAUAUGGGUAUGGGACGGGCGAACAUUUUUAUUACAAUUCAACAACAGUUAAUUAGUAAUUAAACAGUACACUGAGCAGAUGAGGAUAACUGA